rnacentral:rRNA from 1 species
UACGUAGGGUGCAAGCGUUAAUCGGAAUUACUGGGCGUAAAGGGAGUCUAGGCGGUCAGGUAAGUGGGAUGUGAAAUCCCUCGGCUCACCCGAGGACCUGCAUCUCAUACUGCCUGGCUUGAGUAUGGGAGAGGAUGAGGGAAUUCCUGGUGUAGCGGUGGAAUGCGCAGCAUAUCAGGAGGAACGACCGGUGGCGAAGGCGGGUCUCUGGGCAGUAACUGACGCUGAGGAGCGAAAGCGUGGGGAGCGAACAGG